rnacentral:rRNA from 1 species
UACGUAGGUGGCAAGCGUUAUCCGGAAUUAUUGGGCGUAAAGAGCGCGCAGGUGGUUAAUUAAGUCUGAUGUGAAAGCCCACGGCUUAACCGUGGAGGGUCAUUGGGAACUGGUUGACUUGAGUGCAGAAGAGGGAAGUGGAAUUCCAUGUGUAGCGGUGAAAUGCGUAGAGAUAUGGAGGAACACCAGUGGCGAAGGCGGCUUCCUGGUCUGCAACUGACACUGAGGCGCGAAAGCGUGGGGAGCAAACAGG